CUGGGAAGAGCACAAUGAAAACUGAACUCCCUCAUCGGCCUGACAGUGCCUCUUGUGAAGCCCUCCUCAAUGUUACUUCAGUACCCCUUGAAAAAUGUCCUUGGAGACUGAAGAGGAGGAAUGACUUGCUCAGGGGAGGCCGAGGGGCUCCUUCCUGCCGGCCUGCCCUCAAGACAGCAUUCCAAGUCAAGGAAAUCUCUGACGAAACUUAUUCUUGGUUCCGGGUGCUCAGCCCCUCACUCCAGUUCCCAAAUUCAGUUUAAUGACCACACCACGUCGUGGACCCUGCCUUCCCGGUCAGCACCUUGCACUUUCCCUGCGAGCUGCAGGCAUCAAACUGCAUCUAGUGCCUUCUACAUGCUGAGCCCUGCCCUGCCCUGGUGACAGCAGAAAUGAUAAGGCCCACUCAGAGGGAAAUAGGACAACCAUGUCCUUGGACUGAUGCUCGACAGGCUCUACUGAGACCAAGCCCUGGGCCCCUGUUGGUGCCUCUAGAGCGCCAUCCACAUAGGAGGUGUUCAA